AGUGACGUCACACUCACGGUUGAUAUACCCCGGAUUCACGUUUUUAUUUCCUCUUGAAGUUUCUGUCAUCCUGAGGAGGCAUUUUUCUUCAGGAUGCGAGCCAAGUGGAGGAAGAAGCGUAUGAGACGGCUAAAGCGCAAAAGAAGAAAGAUGAGGCAGAGGUCCAAGUAGAAUGUUUCUACAGUUUGACCGGACUGGCAGUGAAUCUCGCCCAGCUGUUGUAGAGACUGACUGUCUGAGACCUGAAAUUUAUUUUGUACUGCAGACCCCACCUUCUGGGACCCACCCAAGAAAUCUCAUUUUGUGGAAAUUCGCUUGCCAGUAUCCGGGACCUGCCUAAAAAGAACCUCAUUUUGUGGAAUCUCAAUGUGCUACAGUAGCAUUGUAUGAAAUAAAUUUGAGGAUACAUUUU